UUGCGGCUGGAUCACCUCCUUUCUAAGGAUGAACCCUAAUGGGAUGCCGUCUCGGCCUCUCCUUUUCGGUUCUCUUCAGAACAAGACGGAAGAAAGUCAUUCUUCACGUCGCGCAUACCUGAAAGCGGAUCUGCCGCCUUCGUUUCUCUUUCUUCGCGAAUGACCAACCCAUCCCUUUGGCAUGCGCCCUGGGGCGCCCGGCUCGGCCGGCUGCCGACUGGGUGUGGUUCAUGGGCUUGUAGCUCAGUUGGUUAGAGCGCGCGCUUGAUAAGCGUGAGGUCGGAGGUUCAAGUCCUCCCAGGCCCACCAUUCCUAUCCAGGUAUCAGGGGCCGUAGCUCAGCUGGGAGAGCACCUGCUUUGCAAGCAGGGGGUCGUCGG
rnacentral:tRNA from 1 species